UCUUCGAUAGUCUAAUGGUCAGGAUAUCUGCUUGUCAUCACAACGAGGAAUUCCUCGACGGUUUCGCAGGGGAUCGGGGUUCAAUUCCCCGUCGAAGAG
rnacentral:tRNA from 1 species